rnacentral:rRNA from 1 species
CCUACGGGUGGCAGCAGUGAGGAAUAUUGGUCAAUGGACGCAAGUCUGAACCAGCCAUGCCGCGUGCAGGAUGACGGCUCUAUGAGUUGUAAACUGCUUUUGUACGGGAGUAAACCCCGAUACGUGUAUCGGGUUGAAAGUAUCGUCCGAAUAAGGAUCGGCUAACUCCGUGCCAGCAGCCGCGGUAAUACGGAGGAUCCGGGCGUUAUCCGGUUUUAUUGGGUUUAAAGGGUUCGUAGGCGGUGUGAGAAGUUAGAUGUGAAAUUUUGGGGCUCAACCCCGAAACUGCCUUUAAUACUGUAGGACUAGAGAACAGGUGCGGUAGGCGGAAUGCAUGGUGUAGCGGUGAAAUGCUUAGAGAUCAUACAGAACACCGAUUGCGAAGGCAGCUUACCAAACUAUAUCUGACGUUGAGGCACGAAAGCGUGGGUAGCAAACAGGAUUAGAUACCCGUGUAGUC